UAAAAGCAAUUGGAGCACAAUAAACACCCUUACAAGGAAUACUUAAUAGCUAAUGUUUGCUUGGUUUUUGGAUUUUUGAUGUUUGAUUUUUCUUGGGUUUGCAAAUUGAUAUCUAAAAUUUUCUUGUUUGAAAAUUGACAAAGUAAUAUGUGGGUGAUUUAUAUUUAAUUUUUAGUUUUAGUUAUAUGUGGUUUACCUAAUGAGUUAUAUUGCUUCAUUGAAAAAGGAACCUAAUAAUGCUUUCUAUAUAUAUUUUGUUCA
rnacentral:misc_RNA from 1 species